rnacentral:rRNA from 1 species
GACGAACGCUGGCGGCGUGCCUAAUACAUGCAAGUAGAACGCUGAAGGAGGAGCUUGCUUCUCUGGAUGAGUUGCGAACGGGUGAGUAACGCGUAGGUAACCUGCCUGGUAGCGGGGGAUAACUAUUGGAAACGAUAGCUAAUACCGCAUAAGAGUAGAUGUUGCAUGACAUUUGCUUAAAAGGUGCAAUUGCAUCACUACCAGAUGGACCUGCGUUGUAUUAGCUAGUUGGUGGGGUAACGGCUCACCAAGGCGACGAUACAUAGCCGACCUGAGAGGGUGAUCGGCCACACUGGGACUGAGACACGGCCCAGACUCCUACGGGAGGCAGCAGUAGGGAAUCUUCGGCAAUGGACGGAAGUCUGACCGAGCAACGCCGCGUGAGUGAAGAAGGUUUUCGGAUCGUAAAGCUCGGUUGUAAGAGAAGGACGAGUGUGAGAGUGGAAAGUUCACACUGUGACGGUAUCUUACCAGAAAGGGACGGCUAACUACGUG